rnacentral:lncRNA from 1 species
GUCAUCCUCUGGCAAGACCCAAGACAUUUUGUGUGCCCUUAAUAGGAAUUUAAGCUUGCUUUAGCCCACGUCAUUUGUAAUCGUCAGAACGACAUGAACGUGGACAUAUUGAGAUGCAUGGCCCCACUGUGCAUGAAGUCUGAAGGUCGUCAGAAGAGAGGAGGAGUUGAGGACAUCGGGGACACUCCUGUACCUGAAGAGGAUUCUGAUAGAGCUCAAGCAUCAGAACGAAGUCUUGGCGGAAUCGGAGCCAUGGCAGACGCUCACAUAGAAAUUGAGCCCCACGGGGGCAUUUCAGGCCAGAAGACACGGGCAAAGAUCUUAGCAAGAUGGCGGCAGUCUCAGGCUCCAGGAGGAAGAAUACCAUUAGAGGAUGAUCUAUAGAAGGGUAUGGCUAAGGACUUAAGAGUAGUGAUAUUUGGAUCCUUUUUGACCAUACUGCAGCCCAUGCAGUAGUCUGCAAACCUUUGAUGAAGUGAAAAAAGAAAAACACCCUGACCUUAUUUAGCUAUGCUGUGGAGAAAUAAAAAAGAUGCCUGCACCCA